CACUGCAGCUAGUGAGUGAACUACAGUGGAACAGCUGCUGGAAACUGUCCAGUAGAAGUGUAACCAAGAGGUCAGGACUCCACUAUACCAGCAGACUGGCAGAUUCCCAACAGAAAGAUACUCCCCACCUUUGAGAACUUGUGAUCUGAAAGUCAGACAAGAAGCUCUGAACAGAGACACAGGAAAAUUCUGUUUGAAAAAAAAUAUUUUGCCCUUUCAUGUGGAUUCUCUCACCCUUUGCAUGUAUCUUGCCUGUGGAAGGUCUGUCUUCUAAGAGGGAGAAGAAGCUGUGACAAACCUUUCCUGGUGGUAAGUGCAAGUGGUUGUGAUGUGACAGCUGGCAGAAAAUACAGCAAAGUGGACUGAAGCAGCACUUCCCCCUCUGGCUUCUUGGUCCUACCCUACAGCAGCUCCUAGUUAUGACUGAGCAGGGCUUUUAUCAUCCAGGAGUCCAUCGCCUCUAAGGCCCUGAUCGUGGUGUGUUUGCUGCCUCAUGGGUCAGGAAAGAGGCUCUGCCAUGAUCACAUUCCUCCUAUGAUGCCAAGCCUUGCAAGACCACAGGUCCAUUUCUGUAUCUUGCAGAGGUGAGAGUGGUGAACAGGUGGGUAUUGGUAAACUGGAGUCUUUAAUGGGCCAUCCACAACUUCACCUGGCCAGCAACUAGCCUCUAAAGUAGUCCUUGUUUAAGGGAGGAAAAAAAAUAUGCUUCUGUUUCAUUCACCCAGGUGAAGGGAUGGGUAGUUCACUCUCAUCUGUUUGAGUCCAGCAACCACAACCACGUGAGAGCACAGAUUCUGAAUUUUUCAGUGCAGCAUCUUUGUCUUGAUCACUGUAAAUUGUCUGAACCUAUCAUCCUGAAACGCCUCCCUCAGUGUGGCUGUGCUUUGUCUGGGUAUGUGUGGCCCCAAGAAGCCAGUCUGAGAGUCAAGCAUCUAAGGACCUUAUAAUAACUUCUAGACAUUUCUUUUUACACUGAAAAAUGAAAUGGCAUCCCAGACAUUUCCUGGCCUUUUGUCCAUCUCUAUUUGAAAAACACAUACAAACUUUUACCUCCUUUCCCCCCAGUUGUAUUAGACAAAGCCAGAGACAAAUAACCAUGAGCAAAAGGGGCAGGCUACAGCUCUGCAGCCACUUCUCCUCACCACAAGCUCAAUCUCUGGAGCAAUCUCAGAUUGAAUUUAGUCCCUGAAUGCAAACCCUCGGGGUUGUGCUGAGGAUGCUGGAGAUGCAGUGACCCGUUUUCACGUACAGGUCUGAGUUUAUGGACAGAGGGGCAUUCAACACAUUCCUACAGCAAAAGGAGAGGAGCCCUUUUUUCAUCUCUAGUUUCAAAUUUGGCUUGACCAUUGUCUGAUGGAAGCCGGGCCCUGGGCAGGGAAGUGAAUACUCUAACAAGUGGCUUGUUAGUGAGGAAUGUCCUGCAGUAAGUACGGAGCAGCCUUGUCACUUCUCAGCCAAUCCUCAGAGGACAAUAAGAAAGGAGGACAAAAUGAGUGCAGCCCUCCUGGGCCUCCCCUUAAGAGUUUAAAAGCAAAAUAUUGAUUUUGAGUUACCCUGCUUCAACUCAGCUUCACUCUCCUGAUAUUUUUAUUCCCUUGUAGGUUUCUGACUCCAUUCGUUUUCUAAACAAAUCACUGGUGAAAUUGUGGUGUGUCCAUGUAACAUUCCUGCACCUAAAAAUAUGGUCAAUUGACACCUUGAAGGUUUCCAGGCAACUCUAACCAUUUGUGACAUCUUUAGCUGCAUCUCCAGUAUGUUCAAAACAGAUGAAGUGAAUGAAUUGAUUUUAGCUGCAUAAAACCCUUGACAAAAAUCUCUUUGUGGCCAUCCAGUUAGUCUCUUGGUGAUUUGUAGAGUAUUUGCUUAUGCCGUGAACUUGAUCCUUCCCACCUCUCUGUUUGUUUUCCGUGGGUUCCCUGCUCCUGAAUGCACUGCAGUUGCCCUCCCCAGAGCUGGAGGAAGAGCCAGUCAAACAAUGCUGGACCUACAGCCCACUAUGUCAUCAGUUCAGACCUGAACACUAUAUAUGCCAAAUGUACCAGAUGAAAAAUUGUGGCAACCAAUAUUAGUUGCUUUAAAUUAUUGCCAGACCCAAACUGCCUAAUAAAAUCAGCAGACUUGUAUAACUUGAUUCAAAGUCCCAGCAAGGCCAAAAUGAUUUUUCAACUUGCUUAAGGAGAUAGUGGAUAGAACAACACAGCAAAAAACUUUUCCUUUGUCCCCAGAAAAAAAAUAAAAUUAACAUUUGCAUGUAAUGAAACAUGCAGUAGGCCAGGAAUAAAUUAAGUGCAGAAUCUUAGCUCCUUUAAUCAAAUAAUUUGACAUUUAUGUGUGUGGUCGAAAAGAAAUUCUUU